GAUGAACGCUGGCGGCGUGCCUAAUACAUGCAAGUCGAGCGAACAGACGAGGAGCUUGCUCCUCUGACGUUAGCGGCGGACGGGUGAGUAACACGUGGAUAACCUACCUAUAAGACUGGGAUAACUUCGGGAAACCGGAGCUAAUACCGGAUAAUAUAUUGAACCGCAUGGUUCAAUAGUGAAAGACGGUUUUGCUGUCACUUAUAGAUGGAUCCGCGCCGCAUUAGCUAGUUGGUAAGGUAACGGCUUACCAAGGCAACGAUGCGUAGCCGACCUGAGAGGGUGAACGGCCACACUGGAACUGAGAAACGGUCCAGACUCCUACGGGAGGCAGGAGUAGGGAAUCUUCCGCAAUGGGGGAAAGCCUGAAGGAGCAACGCCGAGUGAGUGAUGAAGGUCUUCGGAUCGUAAAACUCUGUUAUUAGGGAAGAACAAAUGUGUAAGUAAAUAUGCACGUCUUGACGGUACCUAAUCAGAAAGCCACGGCUAACUACGUG
rnacentral:rRNA from 1 species